GAGGAAUUAGCUUAAAGGUAAAGUACUUAUUUAAUCUAUCUCACAAAUAGAUGAAAAUAAGGGACAGUGUUCGAUUCACUUAUUUCUCA
rnacentral:tRNA from 1 species